GUCUUCUUGAUCUAGGAAGGUCUUUAACAUCGUUUGUUGCCUGAUUUUUAUUCUCAAAACGACUUAUAGUGGAAUGGUGAUGACCAGCAAUACGUACAAUUGUCACAGCGACAUACCUGCUUCUGUCAUGCUGAUUAUCUGCCAUCUUGCUGCAGUUAUGAGUUGUGGAUGACCAAUUACAAGGUGUCAAUCACAUAACUUUAUAAACUUGGUUAUUUAAAGUGUUGAAAACAAUGAG
rnacentral:lncRNA from 1 species